rnacentral:rRNA from 1 species
UACGGAGGAUGCAAGCGUUAUCCGGAAUGAUUGGGCGUAAAGCGUCCGCAGGUGGCUGUGUAAGUCUGCUGUUAAAGAGUGAGGCUCAACCUCAUAAAAGCAGUGGAAACUACACGGCUAGAGUGCGUUCGGGGCAGAGGGAAUUCCUGGUGUAGCGGUGAAAUGCGUAGAUAUCAGGAAGAACACCGGUGGCGAAAGCGCUCUGCUAGGCCGCAACUGACACUGAGGGACGAAAGCAUGGGGAGCGAACAGG